rnacentral:rRNA from 1 species
CUUCUUUAUCACCGAGUGCUUGCACUCACCGAUAAAGAGUUGAGUGGCGAACGGGUGAGUAACACGUGGGCAACCUGCCCAAAAGAGGGGGAUAACACUUGGAAACAGGUGCUAAUACCGCAUAACCAUAGUUACCGCAUGGUAACUAUGUAAAAGGUGGCUAUGCUACCGCUUUUGGAUGGGCCCGCGGCGCAUUAGCUAGUUGGUGGGGUAAAGGCUUACCAAGGCGAUGAUGCGUAGCCGAACUGAGAGGUUGAUCGGCCACAUUGGGACUGAGACACGGCCCAAACUCCUACGGGAGGCAGCAGUAGGGAAUCUUCCACAAUGGGCGAAAGCCUGAUGGAGCAACGCCGCGUGGGUGAAGAAGGUCUUCGGAUCGUAAAACCCUGUUGUUAGAGAAGAAAGUGCGUGAGAGUAACUGUUCACGUUUCGACGGUAUCUAACCAGAAAGCCACGGCUAACUACGUGCCAGCAGCCGCGGUAAUACGUAGGUGGCGAGCGUUAUCCGGAUUUAUUGGGCGUAAAGGGAACGCAGGCGGUCUUUUAAGUCUGAUGUGAAAGCCUUCGGCUUAACCGGAGUAGUGCAUUGGAAACUGGGAGACUUGAGUGCAGAAGAGGAGAGUGGAACUCCAUGUGUAGCGGUGAAAUGCGUAGAUAUAUGGAAGAACACCAGUGGCGAAAGCGGCUCUCUGGUCUGUAACUGACGCUGAGGUUCGAAAGCGUGGGUAGCAAACAGGAUUAGAUACCCUGGUAGUC